UGCUCCUUGAACAUCUUUGUUGACUGCAUUUUGAUCUGUAGCACAGAAGGAGCUCGUAGUCAAAAUUGAAAUUUUUGGUCACUCAGUCUACCAGAUUUGGCACCAAUUCAGAUGUAGGUUCCAAAGGCUGCCACCCUGAGCGCAUUGGGAGCUUAGCCAUUACAGGCUCUAGGAGGAGCUUCUCUACGUAUUUAAUCAGCAUCUACCUCGUUCUUGAACAUCUAUUGAAGCUGAAUAGUUGAUUGACAAAAGGAAUAUUUCCUUAGACACGAUGGGAGAGACAACCAGAGGCAGUUCAUAUAUUCAGCAUACAGAAUUAGGGUGACAUCUCUGUGCUAUUCUUGCAGUACGUUGAAGAAUUUUUGUAGUGGUUGAUGAAUCAGCGAAGAAAUUUAUGCUAUAUGGGGGAAGCAAAUGGGUUGGGGCUCUUGGUGGAGAAAUAUGGACCCAAUGUACCAGCAAUCUUGUAAUACUGCCAUGUACCAUGAUAUUCUUAAACUCAGAACCACAACUUGUGUUCUAGAUAAAGUAGCAUCUCAUCGGCAAAGCAACACGAAGGUUUUCCAUGGCCGUAGGCUUGUAAUUUUGAUAUUUGCUCCAUUUUUGUAGUGAUAUGAUGUAUUCUAUUAAUUUGGAGAAUGGCGGUCAAAUAGUACGUAUCUGCCUGCUUAAUCAACCAAAUCUCUGUUAACUCCGCUUGAGCACUAGCUAUCUAGCAUAGAAUCAUCUGUUCUGCAUUUGUUGUUUCAGCGCAGCCUCUGAUUUCACAAUGACUGUCACCAGUGGGCACCAAUCUGGGAUCAGCCACAUUUUAUUACUA